GCAGGAUUUAUCAGGUACAUUGAACAGUAUAAUAUGAAGUUUCUUUGUUUUCAUAAGCACAGUCCAAGAUUGUUCAUAACACUUAAAGUCCAUCCUUUACGUGGAUUAAUGGCUAGUUCAUUUGUUGAUGAGAAUUUGUAUAAUAUGGGUGCUAAAUACAAGUCUAGUAAGCAGAGCAAUUCAGUGGUUGGAGGUUGACGUUAGAAAAGAGUUAACAUUAUCAGCAUAUAAUUCUUAAUGACCUAGCCUUAAAACUAGGAGCCAUGAACUCUAAAUAUAAGAAAUUGAGUGCUUUUAACCUUAGAAUUACAUGUUAAAAUCAUAUAAAAUAAAUUCACACUAAACUAAUUUUUAGUUGUUUUAUUUAUAUUUAAGGUUUGGUUCUUAGAUUGAGUCCAUUAUCCAAUGCCUUAAACUAGAAUCAACCUAUUUAAAUUGGUUCUCAUAUUUUUUAACUAGAAAACCCAAAAUAUUAAGGGCAUGUUCACCUGUGAAAAACUGGUGGUUUUUUAGAAAAGUUUUAGAGGAAAAUUGGAAAACAAAGUUUUGUGUUUCACACGUGACAGUUUUCUAAUUGGAGAAUUGAAAAAUUAGUUUUCCAAGUCUCUAAAAUUUAACUAAGAUUUGGAGAAUAGUUUUAAGUUAUUUUUUAUUAUUUUCCUUCAUAACAAAACUUAUGUUUUUCAAUUGUUUUCCAAAAGCAAUAAAUUUUCAAAAUUAAAAUUAAAUAAUUAAUUAGAAAAAUAUUUAUUUACAAUGAUAAA
rnacentral:misc_RNA from 1 species